AGUGGAAUUGCUGGGUUGUAUGGUAAUUGAAUGUUUAGUUUUAUAAGAAACUGCCAAACUGUUUGGCAGAGCGGCUGCACCAUUUUUCAUUCCCACCAGCAAU
rnacentral:pre_miRNA from 1 species